rnacentral:rRNA from 1 species
GAUGAACGCUGGCGGCGUGCCUAAUACAUGCAAGUCGAGCGAACGGACGAGAAGCUUGCUUCUCUGAUGUUAGCGGCGGACGGGUGAGUAACACGUGGAUAACCUACCUAUAAGACUGGGAUAACUUCGGGAAACCGGAGCUAAUACCGGAUAAUAUUUUGAACCGCAUGGUUCAAAAGUGAAAGACGGUCUUGCUGUCACUUAUAGAUGGAUCCGCGCUGCAUUAGCUAGUUGGUAAGGUAACGGCUUACCAAGGCAACGAUGCAUAGCCGACCUGAGAGGGUGAUCGACCACACUGGAACUGAGACACGGUCCAGACUCCGACGGGAGGCAGCAGUAGGGAAUCUUCCGCAAUGGGCGAAAGCCUGACGGAGCAACGCCGCGUGAGUGAUGAAGGUCUUCGGAUCGUAAAACUCUGUUAUUAGGGAAGAACAUAUGUGUAAGUAACUGUGCACAUCUUGACGGUACCUAAUCAGAAAGCCACGGCUAACUACGUG